rnacentral:rRNA from 1 species
GAUGAACGCUGGCGGCGUGCCUAAUACAUGCCAGUCGAGCGAACAGACGAGGAGCUUGCUCCUCUGACGUUAGCGGCGGCCGGGUGAGUAACACGUGGAUAACCUACCUAUAAGACUGGGAUAACUUCGGGAAACCGGAGCUAAUACCGGAUAAUAUAUUGAACCGCAUGGUUCAAUAGUGAAAGACGGUUUUGCUUUCACUUAUAGAUGGAUCCGCGCCGCAUUAGCUAGUUGGUAAGGUAACGGCUUACCAAGGCAACGAUGAGUAGCCGACCUGAGAGGGUGAUCGGCCACAAUGGAACUGAGACACGGUGCAGACUCCUACGGGAGGCAGCAGUAGGGAAUCUUCCGCAAUGGGCGGAGGCCUGACGGAGCAGCGCCGCGUGAGUGAUGAAGGUCUUCGGAUCGUAAAACUCUGUUAUUAGGGAAGAACAAAUGUGUAAGUAACUAUGCACGUCUUGACGGUACCUAAUCAGAAAGCCACGGCUAACUACGUG